UCAUUCAUUUUCUUUCCUUUUUUAUUUUAUCAUCUUUGUUGAUCUUGUUAUUCAAUCUUCAUAUUUUUCUAGAAAACAUCACAAACCCAGUUGUUCAUCUUUCUCAAUAAUCUUUUGCCUCUCUAUAGGUUAUGAUAGUUUAGUAUGCUUUCCCCCUCCAUUUGAUUAUCCUUUUUGUAAAAAUUUGAAAAUUUACAUCAUCACAAAUUUCUUUAACUAAAACUCUAGGAUAUCUCUCCCUCUUUUAUUUUUGAGACUAUUUUUGGGGUUUUUUUAAGAUAAAUAAUCCAAUAGUAUUAAAAAAUUUAUAAAAAUGACCUAGUACUAUAUUAUUUAGGA
rnacentral:lncRNA from 1 species